UACGAAGGGGGCUAGCGUUGCUCGGAAUCACUGGGCGUAAAGCGCACGUAGGCGGAUUGUUAAGUCAGGGGUGAAAUCCUGGAGCUCAACUCCAGAACUGCCUUUGAUACUGGCGAUCUCGAGUCCGGGAGAGGUGAGUGGAACUGUGAGUGUAGAGGUGAAAUUCGUAGAUAUUCGCAAGAACACCAGUGGCGAAGGCGGCUCACUGGCCCGGUACUGACGCUGAGGUGCGAAAGCGUGGGGAGCAAACAGG
rnacentral:rRNA from 1 species